AUCAGAAGUAAAGCACAGAAUUUGUAAUUCUAAAUUAUUUCAUGCCUUAAAAGGAAAAAAAAAUUAUAACCUAGUUCAUUGGUCAUAGUAUACCCAUCCAACCCAAAGUUAUUAUAUAUAUAUAGACCUUUUGCUACCAAAAUGCAGACUUCAAAAUCAGGGAAACACUAUUACAACUAAAAUUACAAAUGCUAACGAACCAGCCAUGUAUCAGGUACAACUAAAAUUUACUAUUUCUAUAUAUAUAUAUAUAGACCUAUUGCAACCAAAAUGUAGACUUCAAAAUCAGGGAAACACUAUUACAACUAAAAUUACAUAUGCUAACGGACCAGUCACGUAUCAGGUACAACUAAAAUUACAACUAAACUUUAUAUAUAUAUAUAUAUAGACCUAUUGCUACCAAAAUGUAGACUUCAAAAUCAGGGGAACACUAUUACAAAUAAAAUUACAAAUGGUAACGAACCAGUCAUGUAUCAGGUACAACUAAAAUUUCCCUUCGAAAUGGAAGCUCUAUGACAUAGGAUGGCAUCAGUUUAAGACUUGUCAUUUAAGCCUGUUUUUUGCAAGUCUUGUCCGCUUCCACUUAGUACAAUGGCAUCUAUUCAAAACCUUAGAGGAAGCUCCAUGAGGAAUGUGAUAGCAGCCAAACAUGUCCC
rnacentral:lncRNA from 1 species